rnacentral:rRNA from 1 species
AUUGAACGCUGGCGGCAGGCCUAACACAUGCAAGUCGAACGAGUGGCGGACGGGUGAGUAAUGUCUGGGAAACUGCCUGAUGGAGGGGGAUAACUACUGGAAACGGUAUCUAAUACCGCAUACCCUCGUAUGUGCCCAGAUGGGAUUGGCUAGUAGGUGGGGUAAGGGCUCACCUAGGCGACGAUCCCUAGCUGGUCUGAGAGGAUGACCAGCAACACUGGAACGGAGACACGGUCCAGACUCCUACGGGAGGCAGCAGUGGGGAAUAUUGCACAAUGGGCGCAAGCCUGAUGCAGCCAUGCCGCGUGUAUGAAGAAGGCCUUAGGGUUGUAAAGUACUUUCAGCGGGGAGGCGUUACCCGCAGAAGAAGCACCGGCUAACUCCGUGCCAGCAGCCGCGGUAAUUC